rnacentral:rRNA from 1 species
ACUCCUACGGGAGGCAGCAGUGGGGAAUCUUGGACAAUGGGGGCAACCCUGAUCCAGCCAUGCCGCGUGAGUGAAGAAGGCCUUAGGGUCGUAAAGCUCUUUCGCCUGUGAAGAUAAUGACGGUAGCAGGUAAAGAAACCCGGCUAACUCCGUGCCAGCAGCCGCGGUAAUACGGAGGGGGUUAGCGUUGUUCGGAAUUACUGGGGCGUAAAGCGCGCGUAGGCGGACCAGAAAGUUGGGGGUGAAAUCCCGGGGCUCAACCCCGGAACUGCCUCCAAAACUCCUGGUCUUGAGUUCGAGAGAGGUGAGUGGAAUUCCGAGUGUAGAGGUGAAAUUCGUAGAUAUUCGGAGGAACACCAGUGGCGAAGGCGGCUCACUGGCUCGAUACUGACGCUGAGGUGCGAAAGUGUGGGGAGCAAACAGGAUUAGAUACCCUGGUAGGACAGUG